UGACCAACUAUGGUCAUCUCUUUUUGAAGAGUUUGAUCCUGGCUCAGAGUGAACGCUAGCGGUGCGCCUAACACAUGCAAGUCGCGCGAGGCUUCGAGCCGAGCGGCGAACGGCUG
rnacentral:rRNA from 1 species